rnacentral:rRNA from 1 species
GUGGGGAAUAUUGGACAAUGGGCGAAAGCCUGAUCCAGCAAUGCCGCGUGAGUGAUGAAGGCCUUAGGGUUGUAAAGCUCUUUUACCAGGGAUGAUAAUGACAGUACCUGGAGAAUAAGCUCCGGCUAACUCCGUGCCAGCAGCCGCGGUAAUACGGAGGGAGCUAGCGUUGUUCGGAAUUACUGGGCGUAAAGCGCACGUAGGCGGUUACUCAAGUCAGAGGUGAAAGCCCGGGGCUUAACCCCGGAACUGCCUUUGAAACUAGGUAACUAGAAUCUUGGAGAGGUCAUUGGAAUUCCGAGUGUAGAGGUGAAAUUCGUAGAUAUUCGGAAGAACACCAGUGGCGAAGGCGACUGACUGGACAAGUAUUGACGCUGAGGUGCGAAAGCGUGGGGAGCAAACAGGAUUAGAAACCCUUGUAGUCC